UGGGGGAUAACGUAGGGAAACUUACGCUAAUACCGCAUACGACCUACGGGUGAAAGCCGGGGACCUUCGGGCCUGGCGCGAAUGAAUGAGCCGAUGCCCGAUUAGCUAGUUGGCGGGGUAAGAGCCCACCAAGGCGACGAUCGGUAGCUGGUCUGAGAGGAUGAUCAGCCACACUGGAACUGAGACACGGUCCAGACUCCUACGGGAGGCAGCAGUGGGGAAUAUUGGACAAUGGGCGCAAGCCUGAUCCAGCCAUACCGCGUGGGUGAAGAAGGCCUUCGGGUUGUAAAGCCCUUUUGUUGGGAAAGAAAAGCAGCUGGUUAAUACCCGGUUGUUCUGACGGUACCCAAAGAAUAAGCACCGGCUAACUUCGUGCCAGCAGCCGCGGUAAUACGAAGGGUGCAAGCGUUACUCGGAAUUACUGGGCGUAAAGCGUGCGUAGGUGGUUGUUUAAGUCUGUCGUGAAAGCCCUGGGCUCAACCUGGGAAUUGCGAUGGAAACUGGGCGACUAGAGUGUGGCAGAGGAUAGUGGAAUUCCUGGUGUAGCAGUGAAAUGCGUA
rnacentral:rRNA from 1 species